rnacentral:lncRNA from 1 species
UGGAAGUGUAAACUGAAUAAACCCUUUCCUCCCCAACCUGCUUUUGGUCAUGGUGUUUUGUCACAGCAACAGUGACCUUGACUAGGACACUUGUCUUGCCUAACUGGGACUUUAUAGCCACCAAGUGUCUCCCCGUCUCCCCUCCCCACAGGCUCUGCCUUGUUUCUCUGCGUCUGGGGGUUUGACCAUUUCCGAUUUCAUGUCACUGGAAUCAUCCAAGGGAGAACAGAGUGAGGCUAAGUAAAGACGAUGGAGACCCAGGCCUGCUUCACUGAACGCAUUUUCCCGACUUCAGGGAAGCCCGAAGACUGUUAUAACUCAUAACUCGGUUCAUAGGCUCACACCGUCGCAUUUCUCUGAAGCGGAUUCACCAAGGAACAGGCGAACCGCUCGCUGUCCGCUAGAUGGCAGUGUGGGGCAGGAGUGAGAGCACCGUGGUGCAAGCUGCCAAGGAUUUUAAGACCCAGGGCAGCCCAGGAAUUCUCAAGGAUUCCCAUGGAACCCUGGUCUGACCAGGGCACUGCCUGAGUGGAUUCUGCCAGGUAACAGGGGCAGGCCAGCACAAUGCCUGAACCUUUCAGGUAAGCCAUGGUCAAGAAGCACUGUCCAAUACGUUUGUUCACUUUUCACUCACGAUGACUGUGUGGGGUGAGUGGCAGCAAACUCCAUCCUUUGUGGGCUUCACUGUAGGUAGGAGCGGUUCAAAGACAGAGAACUGGACAUGUGCAAAGUUAUGCUUAAGGAAUCAUGGAGCCAACCUCCUGCCUGUGAGUUCAUGCUCCACACCUGCUGCUGCCUCUGCGCCCACAGACGACAACGCCCCAGUGCGCCGCUGAGAAGAGGAAGCCGGUCUCCUCAGCAGGCUCUUCACGAACUGGAUGUCCCUUCUUGCCUUUGAUUUUUCUGCAGGUGCGAGUGAGCAGGGGCAAGAAGAAGGGGAGCACAGCAGUCCCCCAACAGAAAGAGAGUCCUCCUGAGCAGGCCUUACGGCUAACCUGCCCUCAAUUAUUCUGCCCUGUGAGCACACAUAUGAAAGUUUUGUGCCAGCAAGGAUGUCUGUG